UUCUUUUAAAAGUUUUUUGAUUUUAUCUCUUUGUUUGAAAAAAAGUAGAAUUGAGAUGUAUUUAAAAAAAUUAAUGAUUGCGAUUCCCAAUCCAAGUGUUGAGAUUCCAAAUCCGACCGUUUCUUGCCAGGCAGCGAGGGCAGUCACGAUCUCCCCGAAGUCGGCUCCCACGUUAUUGUAGACCGUGGCGUUGAAGAUCCUUGUGGGAACAGCAGCUCCGGCAGCGGUGAGUUCAUCCGCAAUUAAAUUUGCUCGCCGAAGGUAUGUUGCUACAUUCUCGCCCGCCAUGUGUUUGUUGUUUUGCAAUUACAUUUGUAGUUGAAUGAUCCUUGAUUCAGAUGGCCGGCCAUAUGUGGAGGCCAACGUUGCCCAAAUAUCCGCUGCGGAUUCAAGUCCGAUGAUUGUGGGAAGCACUUCCUCGGUUAUCGAUGAAAAAAUCCAACUAACAAGGAGUUGGUCCUUCUCCCACCAUGCUGUGUAGAUUGGGCAUGACCAAUCCGGAAUUGGAGAUGGCAUUGUUCUAUCGAUAAAUGUUGUUAACCCAAAGCAAUUCAAUAGAGGAGUGAAUUGCAUUUUCCAAAGCAAGUAGUUGGUGCUUGUUAGCUUAAUGUGGAGGAAGCUUUGAAUCGAUCCAAAAGAGGGGGAUCCGGCCAGAAUUUUAUUUGGCAUUUGUGCCACAACUUGUGAGUUGGCUCCGACAGAUGGAUCAUCAAUAGUUGUGGCAUUGCUAGAGGGUAGCGAAAGCAUAUCCGAUAAUGACGGAUGUUGUGGCAUUGCCAUAAAUUGAGCGCCAAGCUCUUGAUUUACCUCAGGAUUUCCGGCGAUUGAUACCAUGUUGGAGGGAUGAACGGAGGUGACAUCCGACAGAUUGGAUUCACCAUCCAUUGCCGACGAGAUCGAGAUGAUCUUACGAGCCAUUGCUAGAAGAUGUUGAGCACAAGUACGGUAGAGAAGGAGAUGUAUAGUGAUUUUAGCAAUAGAAAAACUUGUAUUGAUUGCUAUGUAUAGAUGGGUAUUUAUACACAAGAAUUAACAAUAACAACCCACUACCAUUUGAGUGUGAGUUGUUAUUUGUUAUAAGGAAUAUAAAUUAAUUAUCUAUAAAUCUAUAUUCCAAUAAUGAAUUUAUCCUUGAUGACCAUAUAAGUAUCAUUCAGCCUUUUUAAAAUAUUGUAAAUUAUAAAUUAAUAAUUAUAUCAAAACAUAGGGGUUAUCAUAAUAUCACUCUUGCUUAAAAAAAUUAAAUAAAUACCCUCCAUACCAAUGGUAUAUGAUAUGAUACCAUAUCCUUUGCCCCAGAUCAUUUUUAUCACCUCGGGAGGUUAGUGGUUUAAUUAUCAUCUCUUUAUACUUGUUUUCUUGCUUUUGUUUGAUUCUUUUAAAAGUUUUUUGAUUUUAUCUCUUUGUUUGAAAAAAAGUAGAAUUGAGAUGUAUUUAAAAAAAUUAAUGAUUGCGAUUCCCAAUCCAAGUGUUGAGAUUCCAAAUCCGACCGUUUCUUGCCAGGCAGCGAGGGCAGUCACGAUCUCCCCGAAGUCGGCUCCCACGUUAUUGUAGACCGUGGCGUUGAAGAUCCUUGUGGGAACAGCAGCUCCGGCAGCGGUGAGUUCAUCCGCAAUUAAAUUUGCUCGCCGAAGGUAUGUAGCUACAUUCUCGCCCACCAUGUGUUUGUUGUUUUGCAAUUACAUUUGUAGUUGAAUAAUCCUUGAUUCAGAUGGCCGGCCAUAUGUGGAGGCCAACGUUGCCCAAAUAUCCGCUGCGGAUUCAAGUCCGAUGAUUGUGGGCAGCACUUCCUCGGUUAUCGAUGAAAAAAUCCAACAAUCAAGGAGUUGGUCCUUCCGCCACCAUGCCAUGUAGAUUGGGCAUGACAAAUCCGGAAUUUGAGAUGGCACUGUUCUAUCGAUAAAUGUUGUUAACGCAAAGCAAUUCAAUAGAGGAGUGAAUUGCAUUUUCCAAAGCAAGUAGUUGGUGCUUGUUAGCUUAAUGUGGAGGAAGCUUUGAAUCGAUCCAAAAGAGGGGGAUCCGGCCAGAAUUUUAUUUGGCAUUUGUGCCACAACUUGAGAGUUGGCUCCGACAGAUGGAUCACCAAUAGUUGUGGCAUUGCUAGAGGGUAGCGAAAGCAUAUCCGAUAAUGACGGAUGUUGUGGCAUUGCCAUAAAUUGAGAGCCAAGCGCUUGAUUUACCUCAGGAUUUCCGGCGAUUGAUACCAUGUUGGAGGGAUGAACGGUGGUGACAUCCGACAGAUUGGAUUCACCAUCCAUUGCCGACGAGAUCGAGAUGAUCUUCGGAGCCAUUGCAAGAAGAUGUUGAGCACAAGUACGGUUGAGAAGGAGAUGUAGAGUGAUUUUAGCAAUGGAAAAACUUGUAUUGAUUGCUAUGAAUAGAUGGGUAUUUAUACACAAGAAUUAACAAUAACAACCCACUACCAUUUGAGUGUGAGUUGUUAUUUGUUAUAAGGAAUAUAAAUUAAUUAUCUAUAAAUCUAUAUUCCAAUAAUGAAUUUAUCCUUGAUGACCAUAUAAGUAUCAUUCAGCCUUUUUAAAAUAUUGUAAAUUAUAAAUUAAUAAUUAUAUCAAAACAUAGGGGUUAUCAUAAUAUCACUCUUGCUUAAAAAAAUUAAAUAAAUACCCUCCAUACCAAUGGUAUAUGAUAUGUUACCAUAUCCUUUGUCCCAGAUCAUUUUUAUCACCUCGAGAGGUUAGUGGUUUAAUUAUCAUCUCUUUAUACUUGUUUUCUUGCUUUUGUUUGAU
rnacentral:lncRNA from 1 species